GAAAGCUUAUGCUCAAAUACAUUUGGUAGUCUCUAAGGUGCCACUUGGAAUGGGGAGACUCAUGGUUCAAGUUUGCCCUCCAUCUGAAGUGGAGGAGGGAUUUGAACGAGGAUCUGCCACCUCUCGGGUCAGUGUCCUAGCCACUGCAUAGAAUCAUAGAAUAUCAGGGCUGGAAGAGACCUCAGGAGGUCAUCUAGUCCAACCCCCUGCUCAAAGCAGGACCAAUCCCCAACUAAAUUAUCCCAGCCAGGGCUUGGUCAAGCUUGACCUUAAAAAUCUCAAAGGAAGGAGAUUCCACCACCGCCCUAGGUAACACAUUCCAGUGCUUCACCACCCUCCUAGUGGAAAAAGUUUUUUCCUAAUAUCCAACCUAAACCUCCCCUACUGCAACUUGAGACCCUUACUCAGUUCUCAGUCUCUUCUGUUGAAGCUGUUCCCCUCUGGGUAAAUAAUUUAAAAACGUAAGUAUUUGGAGUAGGGAAAGUGGAUUCUCUGUCCCCCUGCCUCCCAGCUGAGUGCUCUAACCACCAGCUAGAGUUACUGUCAUGCUUGCUUUCUGGCCUCAUGUUGAAGCUCUUCCACUUCGAAUAAAUAAUGAAAGAAUCAUUGGGCCAAAGAGAGAAAAUACUAGAGUGACUCUGUAGCCUGGUGGUUUAGCACUCACAAAGGGAGGCAGGAGACUCCCAGUUUAAGUCCCCUCUCCACCAGUUUGAGCAGAGCUAGAUCAUGUAAAUCUACAUGACCUGGGAAAUGCACCUCCCAGCUCAAAUGUAGACAUACCUUGGGUUCAUGGGAAGACAAGCAAUGCCCUGCCUUGUCCUGUCUAUAGAGUAGAUCAGUAGUGUUAAUCUGUUUACAGCCUGCUCAGAAGAAGGGUUGAAAUAUACUACAACCACAUGAUUAGCAACCAUGUGAUAAUCAUGUUGCUAUGUAUGAAAUCAAUCAUGUUAUAACCUAGUCCUAAAGUCUUCAAAGUUCUGUAGAGUAUAAGGGCUCUUAAACACAGGAUAAAUAUUUCCUUUCUAGGCCAACUCUGUCAAAUAAAAUGGUAGCAAUAUAUCAUUACCAAGCUUUUACUGGAUGGACAUAGAGAUGGUGCUUGCCUUAUGUAAGAGAAAUUUUGAACACUGCACUUGCUCAAAGAUUUGUCCUUAUUGGGAAACCAAGUAGAGAGGAAUAUUUGAUGACUAGACUACCAUGUUAAGAUGCCCCUCGGCAUUAAUGGAAGACUGUUUUUGUUUCAAUUAUCAUGUUCUUUGAAAUGUUAGUUCUACGUCUGAUAAAGUCUAAGGGUAAAAUUUUGAAAAGUGCCUAAUGCUCCUAAAUCUCACUGAAAGCCAAAAUUAUUUAUUUACAAUUUAAAUACUGCAAAAGUUUUCAUUCAGGCGGUGCUGGGUGGAUCUUGUUGAAGAGACUGAGGCAAGGGGAUGAGCAGAACUAUAAAUGCUAUACUUCAUGAUGAUCUGCUGUCAAGCAUAAUUUCACACAUUUCAGCUAUUUCUGAUGUCUUGAUGACAGUUUUAGGGUAGUCUACUGCUAGAAGUUUCUUUUUAAAAUCCUACUCACUUUGUUCUUUAGAUGUUUAAGAACAGUGCUCGUAACUUUUAAUUGCCUGUACUGAAUUUUGUGUGUAUAAAUAACUUUUCUAGAAUGUUGCUUUUUGUUGAUUACUCAACAAAAUGGUUUUACCAUUAAUUAGUUUAGGUGGGACUGUGUGGUGGGAUGGAUCACUUGAUAAUUGCCAUGUUCUGUUCGUUCCCCCUGAAGUAUCCGGUGCCAGCCACUGUCAGAAGACAGGACAUUGAGCUAGAUGGACCAUUAGUCUGACCCAGUAUGGCCAUUCUUAUAUUCUUAUGUCUAAACAGGCUCAUUAGAAAUUUCUGGUUUUUGUUUUAGGUAUUUUGUACAGUGUUAACUCCCCCCCCUUUUUUUAAAAAUUGUUUCCUCUGCCCCAUCCCCAAAAUAGGUGAAUGGGAAUUUCACAUCUCAUCCCCAAUCCUCCACCCCAGCUGCCCCUUCGCCGUAAAACCCAAAAAAGCUGCUCCUCUAGGCUGAGACUAUUUUCAGCCUCAAAGAGAAUUUUUGAGUUGCAAGUGAAUGAAAAGAAGAUUAGGAUUGUGUGGUCAAGUCAUUUAAAAUCUUUGCUUCAGUUUCCCCAUCUACAUAGAACUGGGAUCCUAUUUACCUAGCUCAUAGUGGUGUUGUGAGGACUGAUUCAAUAAUGUCUGGAAAACAUUUGGUACAUAAAAAGCACUAUGCAAGUGUGACAUAUUAAGUUGCAAUUCAACAACAACUGUCACUCCUGUAAAAACUGAAAUUGUUUUAAUAGUUAAC